rnacentral:lncRNA from 1 species
ACAGUUAAUCAUUGCGUCAUUGGCAAAACAUUUUCAAAAAUAAAUCUCCAAGACAUCAUUUAAUUCAACCGAUAUUUAAGUGAAUUUAAAAUAUGGUACGAACGGACCCAAGAGGCGACCGUGUAAGAUGAGAAUGCGUUUUGGGAGCAAAACGGCACCAAAUACCGUCGACGUCAUACAUGUGACUUUGUCAGUAUUUAUAUAUUCUUUUUUUUUAAUGUUAUAUUCAUGUAUAUUUCUGUCCUUUUUAACUUUUAUGCGAAAAAUGAAGAAAGCACUCUGAAUUUCUGAUCGAACAUAUUUCCUGUUUUGAAGAACGUUUUGCAUCAUUUGUUUACAUCGUCGAGGGUGCUUUCAUACACGCCCGCGUUCCAAGGUCGUCAAAGCUAUUUUUGAGAAGACCCCUAAAAGCGACCGUUCCCAAGGCACUCGUCGUAAGAAACAUGCG